rnacentral:tRNA from 4 species
UGAGAGGUGCAAAGUGGUAUGCGCCGCGCUCGAAAUGCGGCAUACCUGCAAGGGUAUCGUGGGUUCGAAUCCCACCCUCUCCGCCA